rnacentral:rRNA from 1 species
UUUUUGACUGUCUUGUUGAUUUGUUUGUGGUAGGUUAUUUUUUAUUGAAGAAUCAUUAGUGGUUAUUGUAGAUUAUUUUGAUACAAUUUUUUAUACUAUAGUGUAUUAGGUACUGUGAGGGGUAGAAUUAAGGUUAUGAGUUGUAUUUAGGAAGUUGAUUUUGUUUGUCGUACCUUGUGUAUCAGGGUUCAUUGAAAUUUAUUAUUUAUUUUUAUUUCCCGAUUUUAAAGGAGUUAAUUACUUAUGUUAGUUGCUGUUUCAUCAGCAUUGAUAAUAGGUUAUUGGUAGUGAAAUGUUACUCGUCUUUAGUGGUUUCUGGUUUUUCAAGAAAUGAAUUUAAUUCAUACAUCUUAUCUAAUGUUUAUUUUUUAUCUAUUUAUUUUUAUUUGAUGUUAAGAUUAAGGGGGAUUAGCUCUUUAUUUUAUUGUUAUAAUUUAUUGUUAGUAAUUAAUAGUUUUGUGGAUUUUAUAGUGAUUUUCGGUUUGAUUAUGUUAAAAUUUUACUUUAUUUUGUUUAUGAAAUUUUUAUUGAAUUUAAUUGGUUUAUUGGAAUGUUUUCUUUACUUUGGUUUGUAAAGUAAUUAUUGUGGAAUUAGUAAAUCUUUUUANNNNNNNNNNNNNNUUGACGAGACAUUAGCUGUCUUUGGGGUAUUGUUUGUUGAACUUGAUUUUUGAGUUAAAAUUCUUAAAUGUUUUUAUGGGACGAGAAGACCCUAUAGAGUUUGACAUUUGUUCUUGUUUAUAUUAAAUUGGUUUGUGUUAGAUUUUAAUGAGGACACAUGUUUUGUUGGGGUGAUGGGAGGAAUUUAUUUAACUCCUCUUUGGUUUAUUAUAUAUUUAUUUAUAUUGGUUUUGAUCCAUUUAUUUUGAUUAUAAGAUUAAAUUACCUUAGGGAUAACAGCGUUAUCUUCCUUGAGAGUUCUUAUUGGCGGGGAGGUUUGCGACCUCGAUGUUGGAUUAAGGUGAAUUUUUGGUGCAGGAGCUGAAAUUGAUUAGGUCUGUUCGACCUUUAAAAUCUUACAUGAUCUGAGUUCAGACCGGCGUGAGCCAGGUUGGUUUCUAUCUAUAAUAAUGUUUUAUAUCUUAGUACGAGAGGACCGGAUAUUUAGAAUAAUUUUGGUUAAUGUGGUUGGUGUUAAUAUGAU